CGGGUAACUCCCUUCUCUCCUCUCGCCUUUGCUGGGCAGCUACGAGAGCUUCCAUCAUCUCAAAUAGUCUGUCUAAAUCCUCCCGAAGCGAAUUAUCUUGGGCCGCUCGGUUUAGUGGGGGCCUUCCUCUCUUCAUUUUCGUGUACCUGCAUUCACAAGGAAUGGUUGAGUAACGAUCUAUCGAUGAGUAUUUCUCUAAGGCACUAUUGUGUAAGGGAUAGGUCCGAGGAAAUGCGGCUCUGAUACCAACUGUAACGGUCCCGGAAAUUU
rnacentral:lncRNA from 1 species